rnacentral:rRNA from 1 species
AUUGAACGCUGGCGGCAUGCUUUACACAUGCAAGUCGAACGGUAACAGCACUUCGGUGGCUGACGAGUGGCGAACGGGUGAGUAAUACAUCGGAACGUGCCUAGUAGUGGGGGAUAACUACUCGAAAGAGUAGCUAAUACCGCAUGAGAUCUAAGGAUGAAAGCAGGGGACCUUCGGGCCUUGCGCUACUAGAGCGGCUGAUGGCAGAUUAGGUAGUUGGUGGGGUAAAAGCUUACCAAGCCGACGAUCUGUAGCUGGUCUGAGAGGACGACCAGCCACACUGGAACUGAGACACGGCCCAGACUCCUACGGGAGGCAGCAGUGGGGAAUUUUGGACAAUGGGCGAAAGCCUGAUCCAGCAAUGCCGCGUGCAGGAUGAAGGCCUUCGGGUUGUAAACUGCUUUUGUACGGAACGAAAAGCCCUCUUCUAAAACAGGAGGGUCAUGACGGUACCGUAAGAAUAAGCACCGGCUAACUACGUG